rnacentral:rRNA from 1 species
AGUGAACGCUGGCGGCAGGCCUAACACAUGCAAGUCGAACGGCAGCACAGAGGAGCUUGCUCCUUGGGUGGCGAGUGGCGGACGGGUGAGGAAUACAUCGGAAUCUGCCUAUUUGUGGGGGAUAACGUAGGGAAACUUACGCUAAUACCGCAUACGACCUACGGGUGAAAGCGGAGGACCUUCGGGCUUCGCGCAGAUAGAUGAGCCGAUGUCGGAUUAGCUAGUUGGCGGGGUAAAGGCCCACCAAGGCGACGAUCCGUAGCUGGCCUGAGAGGAUGAUCAGCCACACGGGAACUGAGACACGGUCCAGACUCCUACGGGAGGCAGCAGUGGGGAAUAUUGGACAAUGGGCGCAAGCCUGAUCCAGCCAUGCCGCGUGGGUGAAGAAGGCCUUCGGGUUGUAAAGCCCUUUUGUUGGGAAAGAAAAGCAGCCGGUUAAUACCCGGUUGUUCUGACGGUACCCAAAGAAUAAGCACCGGCUAACUUCGUGCCAGCCGCCGCCGUAACAC